rnacentral:rRNA from 1 species
UACGUAGGGUGCGAGCGUUGUCCGGAAUUAUUGGGCGUAAAGAGCUCGUAGGCGGUUUUGUCGCGUCUGCCGUGAAAGUCCGGGGCUCAACUCCGGAUCUGCGGUGGGUACGGGGCAGACUAGAGUGAUGUAGGGGAGACUGGAAUUCCUGGUGUAGCGGUGAAAUGCGCAGAUAUCAGGAGGAACACCGAUGGCGAAGGCAGGUCUCUGGGCAUUAACUGACGCUGAGGAGCGAAAGCAUGGGGAGCGAACAGG